rnacentral:sRNA from 1 species
AGUUGUCAUGCCCUAGCUGACUAUGAUAACUCUGUAUGCAUCCGUUCAAAGUAAACACAACGAACAACCCAAUUAUGAAAGCGUUUGCCCAAGUGAUUAGCCUAGUCGUGAUUAGCGUGGUGGUGAUUAUUAUCCCACCGUGCGGGGCUGCAUUUGGACGAAAAAUGGCUUAAAACCAAGCCGAAGUCGCAAAAGAACCCCCGCACCGAAAGGUCUGGGGGUUUUUUAUUGGCAAGAGAAAAUGUACUGAGGAAGACAAAAAAAUGAAAAACACACCAAAAUCCU